UGGGGAAUUUUGGACAAUGGGCGAAAGCCUGAUCCAGCAAUGCCGCGUGUGUGAAGAAGGCCUUCGGGUUGUAAAGCACUUUUGUCCGGAAAGAAGUCCUUGGCUCUAAUACAGUCGGGGGGAUGACGGUACCGGAAGAAUAAGCACCGGCUAACUACGUGCCAGCAGCCGCGGUAAUACGUAGGGUGCAAGCGUUAAUCGGAAUUACUGGGCGUAAAGCGUGCGCAGGCGGUUUGCUAAGACCGAUGUGAAAUCCCCGGGCUCAACCUGGGAACUGCAUUGGUGACUGGCAGGCUAGAGUAUGGCAGAGGGGGGUAGAAUUCCACGUGUAGCAGUGAAAUGCGUAGAGAUGUGGAGGAAUUCCGAUGGCGAAGGCAGCCCCCGUGGGCCAAUACUGACGCUCAUGCACGAAAGCGUGGGGAGCAAACAGGAUUAGAUACCCUGGUAGUCCACGCCCUAAACGAUGUCAACUAGUUGUUGGGGAUUCAUUUCCUUAGUAACGUAGCUAACGCGUGAAGUUGACCGCCUGGGGAGUACGGUCGCAAGAUUAAAACUCAAAUGAAUUGACGGGGUCAUAGCUG
rnacentral:rRNA from 1 species